CAAUAGCGUAUAUUUAAGUUGUUGCAGUUAAAAAGCUCGUAGUUGGAUUUCGGUUAAGAGCGACCGGUCCGCCGUUUGGUGUGCACUGGUUGGUUUUAACUUCCUGUAGAGGUCGUGCUCUGGGUUUAACGACCUGGACUCGGAGUCUACGUGGUUACUUUGAAAAAAUUAGAGUGUUCAAAGCGGGCUUACGCUUGAAUAUUUCAGCAUGGAAUAACACUAUAGGACUCCUGUCCUAUUUCGUUGGUCUCGGGACGGGAGUAAUGAUUAAGAGGAACAGUUGGGGGCAUUCGUAUUUCAUUGUCAGAGGUGAAAUUCUUGGAUUUAUGAAAGACGAACUUCUGCGAAAGCAUUUGCCAAGGAUGUUUUCAUUAA
rnacentral:rRNA from 1 species